ACCAAGUAUGCGGAAGUAGGAGCGUGUCAGUUACCCUCCCUGCUUGUGCUAGGGGUCAGACCUUUGGAGAUCACUCUCCUCCGAGCCUUCCUGUGUUAAACAAACCUCCCAUCCUUCAGAGUCUCCCCGUACCGCUUUGUUCUUCCGUCAGGACCCAGUCCCUAACAUUUGGUUCCCUGACCCGGAAACCCAACUGGGCUGGCCUGUUGCCACUGGUUUGGGGGCAAUGGUAGGACAGUGACGGAAGGGGUCAGAACCGAGAAGGUGCGCCCUACCCAACCUUCCGCAGUCUCCUGCCAGGUGGGCUGGGACCCACCAGCUCUGCUGGUGCUUCCAGACUCAAAUGAGACUUGACAGGACACCAUUGAAAACAUUGGUUAUUUUACCAAGGCUUUGACUGGAAUGUCUUAUUUGAGAAACAUGUAGACUCAGAUAUGACCAGUUUUAAUGAACUAAGAUGGACUUCAUGAAAUGUGGAACCAUAAAGUCCCUUGGAAAUGUUGGCUUGAUACUUUGCUUACAGACUUCCCAGCAGCCUCACCAGCUUGUCUGUUUACUGAGGCUGCAUAUUUGGGGGUUCUCCUUAUCACCUCUGCCUACCCUCCAAACUUCUCAAAAAGCAAGAUUGUGAUGUCAGAAGUCCAGGACAUCAUCUGGGAUGAGAUGAGCCGAAACUCACUGAAACCAGCCAGUGAUGGAACCAGAAUGUGCACAUGGCAAGAGGUGGGAGACGAGGUCCCUGCUCUAUGUUCCUGCUCUGCUCAGAACCCGCAGGACAAAAGCUCAACCUGUUUUCACGGGGUGCAGCCGAGGCCAGGUGCAGACCCCACAGCCACAGGGACAACCUCAGGACCGCAGCUGAGCUGUGGGGCCACGAGGCAGGCCUUUCUGCAGUCCCGGGUCUCCUUUCCCAGCCUGUGUAAGUGCACAGUGUCCUCCUGGCUUGAUCUUGACUCUUGUCCAAAUCUCUGGGUUUCCUGAAUGAGCGCUCACUCCCACGCUGUGUAGGUGACUGGGAAGGGCCAGGGCUCCCCCAUAGGGAGGCUCCUUCCCUGGUGACAUUCCAUGUCCCUCAGGUUGCCAGUGGGGAACACAUUUCGGGGGGUGUGCCAAAGCCUCGAAGCUCCUGCACGACUGCAGGGAACAUGAAGGGAUACAAACGUUUUGGAAGCUGAACACCUGACUAGAACACCCGCUCGCCAGGGCCUCCAUUCCACUCUUGCUAAAGAGGACCGAGUCUGUACACACUCUGCAGAAGGCAUGCACCAAAAUGCUCAGCAUUCUUUCUAAUCAUCCUUAAUUGGAAACUACCCAAAUGCCCAUCAAACAGUAGACUUGUUAUAUAAAUAAGUCUGUAUUCACAUCUGAGAAUGAAUCAUUCAGAACCGCGGCUAGAGAUCUCACAAAUGCAACGAUGAGCCAAAGAAGCCAGGCCCAAAACAGGAUCCAGAUUUCUGAUUCCGUUUAUAUAAAGUACAAAACAGGUUAAAGAGUAGAUGCCCUUAGAAGUUGGCAUAUGGGAUACCCUUGGAAAGGGCUAUUGACUUUGGAAGGACUCUCUGGGGAACUGGUAGCAAUCUCUGCCCUCACUACCUAGGUGUGGGAAGUGCGUCAAAUUUCAAAGAGCUGUUCACUUAUAAGAAUAUUGUUCUGAAUGUUUGUUAUAUGUCAAUAAAAAAGGUUUAAAGGUCUC
rnacentral:lncRNA from 1 species